UACGUAGGGGGCUAGCGUUGUCCGGAAUCAUUGGGCGUAAAGCGCGCGUAGGCGGCCCGGUAAGUCCGCUGUAAAAGUCAAAGGCUCAACCUUUGAAUGUCAGUGGAUACUGCCGGGCUAGAGUCCGGAAGAGGCGAGUGGAACUCCUGGUGUAGCGGUGGAAUGCGCAGAUAUCAGGAAGAACACCGCCGGCGAAGGCAGCUCGCUGGGACGGUACUGACGCUGAGGCGCGAAAGCGUGGGGAGCGAACAGG
rnacentral:rRNA from 1 species